GACGAACGCUGGCGGCGUGCUUAACACAUGCAAGUCGAACGGUAAGGCCCUUCGGGGUACACGAGUGGCGAACGGGUGAGUAACACGUGGGUGAUCUGCCCUGCACUUCGGGAUAAGCCUGGGAAACUGGGUCUAAUACCGGAUAGGACUCCGGACUGCAUGGUCUGGGGUGGAAAGCUUUUGCGGUGUGGGAUGGGCCCGCGGCCUAUCAGCUUGUUGGUGGGGUGAUGGCCUACCAAGGCGACGACGGGUAGCCGGCCUGAGGGGGUGACCGGCCACACUGGGACUGGGAUACGGCCCAGACUCCUACGGGAGGCAGCAGUGGGGAAUAUUGCACAAUGGGCGCAAGCCUGAUGCAGCGACGCCGCGUGAGGGAUGACGGCCUUCGGGUUGUAAACCUCUUUCAGCACAGACGAAGCGCAAGUGACGGUAUGUGCAGAAGAAGGACCGGCCAACUACGUGCCAGCCGCCGCCGUAA
rnacentral:rRNA from 1 species